rnacentral:lncRNA from 1 species
AGGUCUUGUUAGUCGACACAACGGGGACGUAGCGUGCCGGCAAGCACGUGAACCUCGGGAGAAAAUUGUGUGUCUCCAUUAUGAUUGUUCAUUGGAUUUCUUCCGGUGAAUGGACUUCAUAUUAUUGAUUGGUUCAUCCCCUCUAUGCGGCGGUAUAAAGAUCAAACCAUCUCUUUUUACAUUCCCGCAAACUAGAGUAGCUUACUUACUUGUAUAGAAACUUUAGGUAGCUUUCUAGUGUAAGUAGUAACAUAGCUCUUGUGUGCCUAGUGAUUAUAUCAACUAGAAUUGUUAGAUAGGUGGCUUGCAAACACCCCUUUAGAGCUAGAGGAAAAAGCUUCGCUUUGUUAUUUACUAACAUCUUGCUCUAGUGAGUUUGUAGAUUUUUUUAAAUAGGCUAUUCACCCCCUCUAGCCAUAUUAGGACCUUUCACCACCCUUGUUCUCAUCAAGUGGUAAUCAAAGCUUUAGGUAUACCGUUAGGUUCACAUCUACCCUUAGUUUUGAGUUUUCUUGUGUUCAUCCCAUAAGUCUAGCCUUUGCAUCUUUCAAUUUCAGAGUUCGUAGUGUUGAGUUUGUGUCCUGGUCGAGGUCUUGUUGUUGGUUAAGUCUAGCCAUCGCCGCAAAUUUUUCCUACUUCCAGACUGUUUUGUCCUCUAAUUCGGAGUCUGCUCGUAAAACAGCCAUAACUUUCACAAAAGAACAAUGAUGUUGACGUUCCAUUUAUCAAAAUCAAUUAAAAAAAAAUUUCGGAUCUGUCUGUCCCCAUUAUAGUCGGGUUCGACAAUUUUAGAAUCCCCAAAUUUGCCUCAGAAGUUUGAGUUUUCACCUCCUAAUGUUUUUUUUCACAUUUUUUGCAAUCUUCAUAAAAUUCGACAGGCCACGUCUUUCACUUGUUUAAGCUCAAAUUUUCUGUGGUUACUUCUGUAGUGCUCCUAAGUAAAAGAAAAAAUCAAAAAAAAAUAAAAAAGAAUUGUAGGGUUUUGGAUCGUGUUGUCCGGAAGUCGGAUCGAUUUGUGUCUCGCUUUCACCAAAUCAAGAGUUACCAAAACCUUUCAGAAGAACGGGCCACCCUUGUUCUCAUCAAGUGGUAAUCAAAGAUUUAGGUAUACCGUUAGGUUCACAUCUACACUUAGUUUUGAGUGUUCUUGUCUUCGUCCCAUAAGUCUUGCCUUUGCAUCUUUCAGUUUCAGAGUCUGUAGUGUUGAGUUUGUGUCCCGGUCGAGGUCUUGUUGCUGGUUAGGUCUUGUUAGAGUCUAGUUUGUGUGUUUUCCCCAUAGUUUCCAUCAAUUUCUAGCCACUGCCGCAAAUUUUUCCAACUUCGGGACUGUUUUAUCCUCUAAUUCGGAGUCCAUUCGUAUAACAGCCAUAACAUUCACAUAAGAAAAACAAUUUUGACAUUUCAUAUAUCAAAAUUGAUCAAAAAAAUUUUUGGAUCUGUCUGUCCCUGUUGUAGGCGGGUUCGACAAUUUUAGAAUACCUAAAUUUGCCUCUGGAGUUUGAGUUUUCACCUCCUAAAGUUUUUUCACAUUUUUUGCAAUCUUCAUAAAAUUCCACAGACCACGUCUUUCACUUGUUUAAGCUCAAAUUUUCUAUGGUUACUUCUGUAGUGCUCCGAAGUAAAAGAGAAAUAUCAAAAAAAUAAAAAGAAUUGUACCGUUUCAGAUCGUGUUGUUUAGAAGCUGGAUUGAUUUGUGUCUCAUUUCCACCAAAUUGAAUGUUACCAGAACCUUUCAGAAGAUCGGGCCACCCUUGUUCCCAUCAAGUGGUAAUCAAAGCUUCUGGUAUACCAUUAGGUUCACAUAAACCCUUAGUUUCGAGUGUUCUUGUGUUGGUCCAGCCUUUGCAUAUUUCAGUUUUAGAGUCCGUAGUGUUGAGUUUGUGUCCUAGUCGAGGUCUUGUUGCUGGUUAGGUCUUGUUAGAGUCAAGAUCGUGGGUUUUCCCCACCGUUUCCAUCAAUUUCUAGCCACCGCCGCAAAUUUUUCCCACUUCCGGACCGUUUUGUCCUCUAAUUCGGAGUUCGUUCGUAAAACAGCCAUAACAUUCGCAUAAAAACAACGAUUUCGAUGUUCCAUAUAUCAAAAUCGAUGAGAAAUAUUUUUUGGAUCUGUCUGUCUCCACUGUAGGCGGGUUCGACAAUUUUAGAAUCCCUAAAUUCCCCUCUGAAGUUUGAGUUUUCACAUCCUUAAGUUUUUUUCACAUUUUUUGCAAUCUUCAUUAAAUUCCAC